GAUGAACGCUGGCGGCGUGCCUAAUACAUGCAAGUCGAGCGAACAGACGAGGAGCUUGCUCCUCUGACGUUAGCGGCGGACGGGUGAGUAACACGUGGAUAACCUACCUAUAAGACUGGGAUAACUUCGGGAAACCGGAGCUAAUACCGGAUAAUAUAUUGAACCGCAUGGUUCAAUAGUGAAAUACGGUUUUGCUGUCUCUUCUAGAUGACUCCUCGCGGAAUUGGCUAGUUGGUAGGGUACAGGCUUACCAAGGUGACGAUGCGUAGCCGAUCCGCGAGAGGGAUCGGCCGCACUGGAACUGGGACACGGUCCAGCCGCCGACGGGAGGCAGCAGUAGGGAAUCCGCCGCAAUGGGCGAAAGCGUUGCAGAACAACGCCGCGUGAGUGAUGAAGGUCUGUCGUUCGUAAGACUCGGUUAUUGGUGAAAAACAAAUGUGUAAGUAGAUAUGGACGUAGUGACGGUACCUAAUCAGAAAGCCACGGCUAACUACGUG
rnacentral:rRNA from 1 species